GUAAAUAAACAAAUUGGUUCCGGACUUAAAAUCCCUCAGCCGCAAGGCUAUGCGGGUUCGACCCCCGCUCCGGGCACCA
rnacentral:tRNA from 1 species